rnacentral:rRNA from 1 species
GAGUUUGAUUAUGGCUCAGGAUGAACGCUAGCGAUAGGCUUAACACAUGCAAGUCGAGGGGCAGCAGGGACUUCGGUCUGCUGGCGACCGGCGCACGGGUGCGUAACGCGUAUGCAACUUGCCUUACAGAGGGGGAUAACCCGUUGAAAGACGGACUAAUACCGCGUACACUCGUUUAUAGGCAUCUAUAGACGAGGAAAGAAAUUCGCUGUAAGAUAGGCAUGCGUCCCAUUAGCUAGUUGGUGAGGUAACGGCUCACCAAGGCGACGAUGGGUAGGGGAACUGAGAGGUUGAACCCCCACACUGGUACUGAGACACGGACCAGACUCCUACGGGAGGCAGCAGUGAGGAAUAUUGGUCAAUGGGCGAGAGCCUGAACCAGCCAAGUCGCGUGAAGGAUGAAUGUCUUAUGGAUUGUAAACUUCUUUUAUAGGGGAAUAAUGGUCGGUACGCGUACCGGAUGAAUUACCCU